AAUGGGCGCAAGCCUGAUCCAGCCAUGCCGCGUGAGUGAAGAAGGUCUUCGGAUUGUAAAGCUCUUUUGCCAGGGACGAUAAUGACGGUACCUGGAGAAUAAGCCCCGGCAAACUUCGUGCCAGCAGCCGCGGUAAUACGAAGGGGGCUAGCGUUGUUCGGAAUUACUGGGCGUAAAGCGCACGUAGGCGGGUCGUUAAGUCAGGGGUGAAAUCCCGGAGCUCAACUCCGGAACUGCCUUUGAUACUGGCGAUCUAGAGAUCGGAAGAGGUGAGUGGAAUUCCCAGUGUAGAGGUGAAAUUCGUAGAUAUUGGGAAGAACACCAGUGGCGAAGGCGGCUCACUGGUCCGAUACUGACGCUGAGGUGCGAAAGCGUGGGGAGCAAA
rnacentral:rRNA from 1 species